UACGUAGGCAGCGAGCGUUAUUCGGAUUCACUGGGCGUAAAGGGUGCGCAGGCGGCCAAGUGUGUGAGGCGUGAAAGCCCGGGGCUUAACCCCGGAAUUGCACCUCAAACUACAUGGCUAGAGCAUUGGAGAGGGUAGCGGAAUUCACGGUGUAGCAGUGAAAUGCGUAGAUAUCUGGAGGAACACCGGUGGCGAAGGCGGCAUCCUGGACCAACACUGACGCUGAGGGAGCGAAAGCCAGGGGAGCAAACGGG
rnacentral:rRNA from 1 species